UUUUACAAUAAAUUACAGAUUCCGGAAAUGAAGGUGUUCAUUCCUUCCUUAUUUACAAACCAUUUUGUGUGGUGCAGUACCUGUGGAGGUUUAAGAACCCAAAUCAACAAUGGCAGACAAACCAGAUGUGAGUGAGAUCGCUCAGUUUGACAUGACUAAACUGAAGAAGACUGAGACUGAGGAGAAGAACACUCUACCUACCAAAGAGGUCAUUGACCAGGAGAAGCAGGUGGAAUCCUAAAAUGGCUGCUGUCAUUACUCACAAGCUACAUCCCAGAGGGACUGUUUCUCAAACCUGAACUCUCCAUUCUGGACUGGAUCCUCAUGGCUGCCUAAGUCACUGACUCAAUAAAAGCCACGUAGACUAA